GCCCGGGCUACUCCCAAGCCUCUAGCGCCUACGCUUCUCCAGCGGUUGUGGCCAUUGGGACCCAUGUCAGGGCUGGGAAGCCUCAGGACUAACCCCGCUAAUACCAAGCUUUUCCGAGGUCCACAUUCACUCGGGAACCCACACUUAACCUGAAAGAUGGAUGUGAGGAAUGAUGUAUCUGAAGGCUUGUAGAGGCAGAGUGCUUAAUGGUUCCAUCAGUUUUCCCAUUGCUAAGCCAGAAAGGAAACUAAGGCCUAGAGGGGCUAAGAUUUGCUCCAAAUCACCCAUGUUGGCAGUAAGAGAAAGAACCAGGUUUGGACCCAGAGCAAUCGGAGCUGGUGCCAACAGAAAGCAUGGAGAGAUGGAGCUUCCGAAGAAGGACACUGCCAUCACGUUUGGAAAGAGGAUGAACAUUGGGAUUUACAAUGGCAGUACUGUUCCUUGCUAUUGCUGACUGCUUACCCCCUCACCUUAUGUUAGAUGGACUAUUUGAAGCUAGAAGUAGUCAGAGGAGAAGGGGAGAAGUAUCAGUUCACACAAGUCUUCCCUGAUUUCUCAAAAUUGCCCCUUUAUUAAAUUUCUUGUAGCACAAAUAUUACACUAUAUCCACAUACCUUAAUUCAUUCAUCUAUUCCCCAAACAACAAGGAAACAAAAUUCCCUUAGUUUAGAGGUCUUGAUUAUAUUAAAAAAAAAAACCUGCUACAAAUUUAUUUUUAACUCCUUACCUUCUGUCUUAGCAUGUAUUGGUUCCAAGGUAGAAAAGUGGUAAGGGUUAGGCAAUGGGGGUUAAGUGACUUGGCCAGGGUCACACAACUAGGAAGUGUCUGAGGUCAAAUUUGAACCCAGGACCUGACUCUCAAUCCAUUGAUCCACCUUAGCUACCCCCUGCUAUAAAUAUUUUUGCAUAAGUGGGUUUCUUUCCUUUUUCUUUGACCUUUUUAAGGUUUAGGCAGGUUAUUGGUAUAGUAGGUCAACUGCUAUGCACAGCUUAAUGAUUUUUUUUGUACGUAGUUCCAAAUUGUUUUCUAGAAUGAUUGGAUCAAUUUAUAGCAUUACUAAUAAUAAUGCACUAGUAUGCCUAUUUUCCCAUAGUUUUUCUAGCAUUUGUCAUUUCCUCUUUUUUUUUGGUUAUCUUGGCCAAUCUGAUGAGUGUGAAGUGGAACUGCAGAAUUGCUGUAAUUCACAUUUAUCUAAUUAUUAGUGAUUUGGAGCUCUUUCUAUAUGACUAUUGAUUUCUUCUUUUGAAAACUUCCUGUUUGAAUCCUUUGACCAGUUAUAUAUGAAGAAUUGCCCUUACUUUUUAGAAAAUUGAAUCACUUCCAUAUCCAUAUUGGAUAUAAGAUUGUCUCUCCAUGAAAUGUCAAAGAUAUUUCUUCCCAAUUACCUAUUUCUUUUCUGAUUGUCACAGCAUUAAUUUCACUUGUACUAAAACUUUUUAACUUUAUGUAAAUGAAAUUGUCUAUUUCA